AUGUUAGGACUUAUUCUCUUGCUUCGGUGCUAAAUGUGUUGUUUGUCAUGCCUGGCAAUUGUGAGCAGAUCACCUUUGAAAGUUAGUAGAGGAAGAACUUGAGGAGGAGUAUUUGUGUAGUAACUAAUUCUAACUUUAAGGCUUGGCUUUGCAGUUAGCAUUAUUCAUACUUGUGAAAGAAAGUGCUAAAGUGUUAACAAUGCUCAAUCAGCCAGUGGUAUAUGAACGCUUUGUUCAUCAUCCCUUGGUGAUUCUCCUAAUAGCUCUACAAGCAUCUGAUGCACUUUUUGGCCUAUUUGGAGCCAUGGUUUUUGAGCUUCUCACUAAUUGGACAAUUUAUACAAAUAAGAAAUUGGCAAAUAUGCAUAUGGAUAUAUUGAGCUAUUUAAUGGUCAGAAGUCGUAUAGCCGUAUAGUCUGCCUUUUUAGAGCAUCAAUCAGUUGAAUGAUUAUGUCAGUCUAUUUGUCUAUUCUUCAAGCUUUGCAAGUAUAACAAAACUACUCUUGUAUGGGUGUGCAUUGUGACAAAGGAUCUUAGCAGUUUACACCUCCCAUCGUGAGCUUUUAAAGCUAGCCGACUUGCAGAUUGUGCAGACCUAAGCAAGAGAUAUGGAGCCUGAGAAAUCAUAAAAUGCAUGAUAGAGGUUCUGUCGAUAUUCUGAUGGCAAGCAAGCAUAUUCAAGCCUAAUUUAUGGAGUUUCAAUCCUUAAUGUCUGUUGAGAAAAGUAAAGUAACAAGCUUAUCCCAUCUGUCUUGGGAACCUCCUCGAGUGAUCAAGAACAAUAUUAAUGCUGCAAUCUCGGACUCAGUCACCACCUUAGCUGUUGUAGCUAGAGACUCUGAUGGUAAGGUUAUGAAGGUUUGAACUAAAUUGCAUGGAAGUGCUCCCCUCUCCUAGCUGAAGCUGCUGCGCUCUUGUGGGCUGUUCAGAUUGCUGCUAGCAAGCUAUGGAGCUAUGUCAUUUUUUAGGGUGACUCUAAAGUUUGUUUUGAGCCCUUAAUCUCCAGAGACCUCCCAUCUGAUUGGUCCAUAAGUAACAUCAUUUGUAAUAUUAUUAGUAUCUCCAAGUCGUGUCUUUGUUUUAGUUUUCGUUGGGUUAAGCAGAUAUGCAACUUUGUGGCUCAUACAAUAGCAAAGCUUGCUAUACGUUCCAACAUGUCUUUUUAUUCCAAUAACGAUAAUCUGCCCGUAGAUAUUGUCUCUGCUUGUAAGGCAGACUAU